rnacentral:rRNA from 1 species
GUAACGAUAAGGGGGGUGAAAAACCUCCCCGCCGAAAGAUCAAGGUUUCCUGCCCAACGUUAAUCGGGGCAGGGUGAGUCGGCACCUAAGGCGAGGCUGAAAAGCGUAGUCGAUGGAAAAUCGGUUAAAAUUCCGAUACCGAUUCUUACUGCGAUGGAGUGACGGAGAAAGCUAGGCUAGCACGGCGUUGGUUGUCCGUGUUUAAGCGUGUAGGGAGAGAACUUAGGUAAAUCCGGGUUCUCACUAUCCUGAGACGUGAUGACGAUCUUGAACUACGGUUCAAGAGAAGUAGUUGAUGCUCUGCUUCCAGGAAAAUCUUCUAAGCUAUAGGUAAGAAUUGACCGUACUGUAAACCGACACAGGUGAUCAGGUAGAGAAUACCAAGGCGCUUGAGAGAACUUGGGUGAAGGAACUAGGCAAAAUGGUACCGUAACUUCGGGAGAAGGUACGCUCCCUUUGGUGAAGCAUUUACUGCGUAAGCUAGGGGGAGUCGAAGAAACCAGGUGGCUGCAACUGUUUAUUAAAAACAUAGCACUCUGCAAACACGUAAGUGGACGUAUAGGGUGUGACGCCUGCCCGGUGCCGGAAGGUUAAUUGAUGGGGUUAGCUUAGGCGAAGCUCUUGAUCGAAGCCCCGGUAAACGGCGGCCGUAACUAUAACGGUCCUAAGGUAGCGAAAUUCCUUGUCGGGUAAGUUCCGACCUGCACGAAUGGCGUAAUGAUGGCCACACUGUCUCCACCCAAGACUCAGUGAAAUUGAAAUCGCUGUUAAGAUGCAGUGUACCCGCGGCUAGACGGAAAGACCCCGUGCACCUUUACUAUAGCUUCACAUUGGACUUUGACAUUAUUUGUGUAGGAUAGGUGGGAGACUUUGAAGCAGGAACGCUAGUUCUUGUGGAGUCAACCUUGAAAUACCACCCUGAUACUGUUGAGGUUCUAACUUAGGCCCAUUAUCUGGGUUGAGGACAAUGUGUGGUGGGUAGUUUGACUGGGGCGGUCUCCUCCCAAAGAGUAACGGAGGAGCACGAAGGUACCCUAAUGACGGUCGGAAAUCGUCAGUUUAGUGCAAAGGCAUAAGGGUGCUUGACUGCGAGAGUGACAACUCGAGCAGGUACGAAAGUAGGUCUUAGUGAUCCGGUGGUUCUGUAUGGAAGGGCCAUCGCUCAACGGAUAAAAGGUACGCCGGGGAUAACAGGCUGAUACCGCCCAAGAGUUCACAUCGACGGCGGUGUUUGGCACCUCGAUGUCGGCUCAUCACAUCCUGGGGCUGAAGCCGGUCCCAAGGGUAUGGCUGUUCGCCAUUUAAAGUGGUACGCGAGCUGGGUUUAGAACGUCGUGAGACAGUUCGGUCCCUAUCUGCCGUGGGCGUUGGAGAUUUGAGAAGAGUUGCUCCUAGUACGAGAGGACCGGAGUGAACGAACCUCUGGUGUUCGGGUUGUGUCGCCAGACGCAUUGCCCGGUAGCUAUGUUCGGCAAGGAUAACCGCUGAAAGCAUCUAAGCGGGAAGCCUCCUUCAAGAUUAGAUCUCCCUGGAGCUUUAAGCUCCCUAAAGUGCCGUUCAAGACUAGGACGUUGAUAGGCUGGGUGUGUAAGCACAGCGAUGUGUUGAGCUAACCAGUACUAAUUGCACGUGAGGCUUGACCAU